AUACGUAGGGUGCGAGCGUUGUCCGGAAUGAUUGGGCGUAAAGGGCGCGUAGGCGGCCCGGUAAGUCUGGAGUGAAAGUCCUGUUUUUAAGAUGGGAAUUGCUUUGGAUACUGUCGGGCUUGAGUGCAGGAGAGGUAAGUGGAAUUCCCAGUGUAGCGGUGAAAUGCGUAGAGAUUGGGAGGAACACCAGUGGCGAAGGCGACUUACUGGACUGUAACUGACGCUGAGGCGCGAAAGUGUGGGGAGCAAACAGGAUUAGAUACCCUGGUAGUCCACACUGUAAACGAUGAAUGCUAGGUGUAGGGGGUAUCGACCCCUUCUGUGCCGCAGUCAACACAAUAAGCAUUCCGCCUGGGGAGUACGGCCGCAAGGUUGAAACUUAAAGGAAUUGACGGGG
rnacentral:rRNA from 1 species